AGUGAACGCUGGCGGUAGGCCUAACACAUGCAAGUCGAACGGCAGCACAGGAGAGCUUGCUCUCUGGGUGGCGAGUGGCGGACGGGUGAGGAAUACAUCGGAAUCUACUCUGUCGUGGGGGAUAACGUAGGGAAACUUACGCUAAUACCGCAUACGACCUACGAGUGAAAGCAGGGGACCUUCGGGCCUUGGGCGAUGGACUGAGCCGAUGUCGGAUGAGCUAGUGGGCGGGGUAAAGGCCCACCAAGGCGACGAUCCGUAGAUGGUCUGAGAGGAUGAUCAGCCACACUGAAACUGAGACACGGUCCAGACUCCUACGGGAGGCAGCAGUGGGGAAUAUUGGACAAUGGGCGCAAGCCUGAUCCAGCCAUACCGCGUGGGUGAAGAAGGCCUUCGGGUUGUAAAGCCCUUUUGUUGGGAAAGAAAUCCAGCUGGCUAAUACCCGGUUGGGAUGACGGUACCCAAAGAAUAAGCACCGGCUAACUUCGUGCCAGCCGCCGCCGUAA
rnacentral:rRNA from 1 species